AUUAAUUUAAUAUAUUAAGAACUUUGAUGUGUAAUGGAUGAGAUGAUUGAGAAUGACUAAGACUUAUUUUAUCUUAAUUUUUAUUGACACCAGUAGGUCAGAGAUUCGAGCCGUGAAUACAACCAAUUAUAUGUAUUAAGGUAGGUUGUAUACAUUAUAUCCUUGUGAUGUGGACCUUUUUCGAAUCCUACACGAAAACAAAAUGCUUUGUGCCUUAAGAUUUUUUUUCUGCCUAAUUCUACGCUAAAAGUGAAAGAAUGACUUGACUUGUCUUCAGGGGCGGCCCAACAAAUUUCGUGGCCUAAAGCCAAAUUUUAUGAGGAGCCUUAAUUUUAUUUUUUAAAAGUAUUUAUUUAUUUAUUUGAAGUGUAUUUUUCUAACUUCUUCUUAAUAAUUUUCUUAUGAUCAAUAACUCCUAAUAAGUUUUUUUUAAUAUAGUAAUUAUUUAACCUUUUUUGAGACAUUGGUGAUUUUACGUAAGAUUUUAUAAAUUUUAGUUUUGAAAACUCUUUACGCUGAAGUGACGGUAACAAGAGUUAUUAACAUUAUUCCAUAAGCAAUAUAGGCAUUAGAAAAAGAAUCAAACCUUUUAAUUGGCCGAGUGUAUAAAUUAAACUACUAUCUUCUAAUUGCACUAUUUUCCUUAAUACUUUUAAUUUCGAAAAUAAUUAUCAAAUUGAUUAUUAUUCUUUAAAGAAUAUUUAGGAUUAAGGUAAUAUUUUUUCAAAUUUUCAUUAUGUAGUGAUCAUAAUUUUUAUCGCUAAAUAGAAAACUGUAGCAACCCAGCCCGCUAGUGAUAUUAUCCGAUCUGGGCCUGUGCCCUCACAGGUUUAAAACGUACCACUAGGGUCUAAGGCUUUUUAACUUAUAUACCCAGUAUCCCUCUUGUGUUUUCCCGAUGUGGGUCUUUGUCUAUAGUCUGGGACCCCCUCUUAUGGAAUCAACGUCCUCACUGAGGUUUGCCCCACCGCAUGAGAUUCGCCUAGAUUCACCACUAAACUCUGAUCUGACCAAAGGCUGUAAAUUUGGCGGUUCCGAACCGCGGACCGGAACCGCGGCCUGCCGGUUCCGGCGGCCCGGUUCCGGCGGUAGCGGUUUCCGGGAACCGUGGCAGGGCGGUUCUACCCGUUGGAACCGCUAGAACCAGAACUGCCAGAACCGGAAACCGGAACCGGACCGGUUUUGGCGGUUCCAAACGGUUCUGCC
rnacentral:lncRNA from 1 species